GAGUUUGAUCAUGGCUCAGAUUGAACGCUGGCGGCAGGCCUAACACAUGCAAGUCGAGCGGAUGACGGGAGCUUGCUCCUUUAUUCAGCGGCGGACGGGUGAGUAAUGCCUAGGAAUCUGCCUGGUAGUGGGGGACAACGUUUCGAAAGGAACGCUAAUACCGCAUACGUCCUACGGGAGAAAGCAGGGGACCUUCGGGCCUUGCGCUAUCAGAUGAGCCUAGGUCGGAUUAGCUAGUUGGUGGGGUAAUGGCUCACCAAGGCGACGAUCCGUAACUGGUCUGAGAGGAUGAUCAGUCACACUGGAACUGAGACACGGUCCAGACUCCUACGGGAGGCAGCAGUGGGGAAUAUUGGACAAUGGGCGAAAGCCUGAUCCAGCCAUGCCGCGUGUGUGAAGAAGGUCUUCGGAUUGUAAAGCACUUUAAGUUGGGAGGAAGGGCAGUAAGUUAAUACCUUGCUGUUUUGACGUUACCGACAGAAUAAGCACCGGCUAACUCUGUGCCAGCCGCCGACCG
rnacentral:rRNA from 1 species